rnacentral:rRNA from 1 species
GGGCUAGCGUUGUUCGGAAUUACUGGGCGUAAAGCGUACGUAGGCGGCUUUGUAAGUUAGAGGUGAAAGCCCGGGGCUCAACUCCGGAAUUGCCUUUAAGACCGCAUCGCUUGAAUCAUGGAGAGGUGAGUGGAAUUCCGAGUGUAGAGGUGAAAUUCGUAGAUAUUCGGAAGAACACCAGUGGCGAAGGCGACUCACUGGACAUGUAUUGACGCUGAGGUACGAAAGCGUGGGGAGCAAACAGG